AGUGAACGCUGGCGGUAGGCCUAACACAUGCAAGUCGAACGGCAGCACAGUAAGAGCUUGCUCUUACGGGUGGCGAGUGGCGGACGGGUGAGGAAUACAUCGGAAUCUACUUUUUCGUGGGGGAUAACGUAGGGAAACUUACGCUAAUACCGCAUACGACCUACGGGUGAAAGCAGGGGAUCUUCGGACCUUGCGCGAUUGAAUGAGCCGAUGUCGGAUUAGCUAGUUGGCGGGGUAAAGGCCCACCAAGGCGACGAUCCGUAGCUGGUCUGAGAGGAUGAUCAGCCACACUGGAACUGAGACACGGUCCAGACUCCUACGGGAGGCAGCAGUGGGGAAUAUAGGACAAUGGGCGCAAGCCUGAUCCAGCCAUACCGCGUGGGUGAAGAAGGCCUUCGGGUUGUAAAGCCCUUUUGUUGGGAAAGAAAAGCAGCAGGUUAAUACCCCGCUGUCCUGACGGUACCCAAAGAAUAAGCACCGGCUAACUUCGUG
rnacentral:rRNA from 1 species